rnacentral:rRNA from 1 species
UACGUAGGGUGCGAGCGUUGCCCGGAUUUAUUGGGCGUAAAGAGCUUGUAGGCGGUUUGUCGCGUCUGCUGUGAAAUUUCGGGGCUCAACCCCGAACUUGCAGUGGGUACGGGCAGACUAGAGUGUGGUAGGGGAGACUGGAAUUCCUGGUGUAGCGGUGAAAUGCGCAGAUAUCAGGAGGAACACCGAUGGCGAAGGCAGGUCUCUGGGCCACUACUGACGCUGAGAAGCGAAAGCAUGGGGAGCGAACAGG